UACGUAGGUGGCAAGCGUUGUCCGGAUUUACUGGGCGUAAAGCGCGCGCAGGCGGUUCGUUAAGUCCGGUGUGAAAGCCCCCGGCUCACCUGGGGGAGGGCAUUGGAGACUGGCGGACUGGAGGCAGGCAGAGGCCGGUGGAAUUCCCGGUGUAGUGGUGAAAUGCGUAGAGAUCGGGAGGAACACCCGUGGCGAAGGCGGCCGGCUGGGCCUGUCCUGACGCUGAGGCGCGAAAGCGUGGGGAGCGAACCGG
rnacentral:rRNA from 1 species